CCUACGGGAGGCAGCAGUGGGGAAUAUUGCGCAAUGGCCGAAAGGCUGACGCAGCGACGCCGCGUGGGGGAUGAAGCAUUUCGGUGUGUAAACCCCUGUUGCUCGGGACGAACAACUGGUUUUGACCAGUCUGACGGUACCGGGUGAGGAAGCACCGGCUAACUCCGUGCCAGCAGCCGCGGUAAUACGGAGGGUGCGAGCGUUGUCCGGAAUCACUGGGCGUAAAGGGCGCGUAGGCGGUCUGCUAAGCGUGUGGUGAAAGCUCGGGGCUCAACCCUGAGUCGGCCAUGCGAACUGGUGGACUAGAGCACUGUAGAGGCAGGUGGAAUUCCGGGUGUAGCGGUGGAAUGCGUAGAGAUCCGGAAGAACACCGGUGGCGAAGGCGGCCUGCUGGGCAGUAGCUGACGCUGAGGCGCGACAGCGUGGGGAGCAAACAGGAUUAGAUACCCUGGUAGUCCACGCCGUAAACGAUGGGCACUAGGUGCUUGGGGGAGNGACCCCCCGGAGUGCCGGCGCUAACGCAUAGUGCCCGCCGUCGGGAGGUACGACCGCGAGGUUAGAACGUACGAAGGAAGUUAGACGGCGUGAGACGUGCCGACGGACGACGACGAGGGAGGAGG
rnacentral:rRNA from 1 species